rnacentral:rRNA from 1 species
UAAGGGAUAUUGCACAAUGGGCGCAAGCCUGAUGCAGCGACGCCGCGUGGGCGAAGAAGGUUUUCGGAUCGUAAAGUCCUUUUCUAGGUGACGAGGAUGGACGGUAGCCUAGGAAUAAGUGUCGGCUAACUACGUG